rnacentral:rRNA from 1 species
GAUGAACGCUGGCGGCGUGCCUAAUACAUGCAAGUCGAGCGAAGCGGGGACGGUUGAGUAAGACGUAGAAACCCGCCUAUACGACUGGAUUAACUUCGGGAAACAGGUGCUAAAGCGGAUACUUGUGGAUGGAUCCGAGCUGCAUUAGCUAGUUGGUAAGGUAACGGCUUACAAAGGCAACGAUGCAUAGCCGACCUGAGAGGGUGAUCGGCCACACUGGAACUGAGACACGGUCCAGACUCCUACGGGAGGCAGCAGUAGGGAAUCUUCCGCAAUGGGCGAAAGCCUGACGGAGCAACGCCGCGUGAGUGAUGAAGGUCUUCGGAUCGUAAAACUCUGUUAUUAGGGAAGCGGUACCUAAUCAGAAAGCCACGGCUAACUACGUGCCAGCAGCCGCGGUAAUAC